rnacentral:rRNA from 1 species
GACGAGCGCUGGCGGCGUGCUUAACACAUGCAAGUCGAACGGAAAGGCCCUGCUUUUGUGGGGUGCUCGAGUGGCGAACGGGUGAGUAACACGUGAGUAACCUGCCCUUGACUUUGGGAUAACUUCAGGAAACUGGGGCUAAUACCGGAUAGGAGCUCCUGCUGCAUGGUGGGGGUUGGAAAGUUUCGGCGGUUGGGGAUGGACUCGCGGCUUAUCAGCUUAUUGGUGGGGUAGUGGCUUACCAAGGCUUUGACGGGUAGCCGGCCUGAGAGGGUGACCGGCCACAUUGGGACUGAGAUACGGCCCAGACUCCUACGGGAGGCAGCAGUGGGGAAUAUUGCACAAUGGGCGGAAGCCUGAUGCAGCAACGCCGCGUGCGGGAUGACGGCCUUCGGGUUGUAAACCGCUUUCGCCUGUGACGAAGCGUGAGUGACGGUAAUGGGUAAAGAAGCACCGGCUAACUACGUG